GAAGAGCCUGACGUGGGGCUCGAUCCCACAACGCCGGGAUCACACCCUGAGCCGAAGGCAGACACUUAACUGCUGUGCCACCCAGGCGCCCCCACACUGGGGUUCAUAAAAAUCUCAUUUACUCCCAUGGGAUCAAGUAUAGUACUCGGGAUGCCCGUAAACAAACGCUCCUUCCACUCUUUGUAUUUCUUCAACACAGCAGCACUCCCCAGGGACCCUGUUCACAGCAUGUGUCAUGGAAAGAAUAAGGACCACUGCCACUUGAGGUGUCUGGCCGGAAGACAAGGAGUCAUCCAGUGGGGACAGAGUGAAGCCACAGGGCUGUGAUUUCUCCUGGAAUCCUUCUGAGCAAGAAGUCCAGAGGAAGAGGUGAAGAAGAAAUGGCCAGUUCUCAGGGAGUGCUGACAUUCGGGGCCGUGGCCAUAGAAUUCUCCCAGGAGGAGUGGCGAUGCCUGAGCCACACGCAGCGGGAACUGUACAGGGA